CACACGACUCUCGGCAACGGAUAUCUCGGCUCUCGCAUCGAUGAAGAACGUAGCAAAAUGCGAUACCUGGUGUGAAUUGCAGAAUCCCGCGAACCAUCGAGUUUUUGAACGCAAGUUGCGCCCGAGGCCUUYUGGUCGAGGGCACGCCUGCCUGGGCGUCACGC
rnacentral:rRNA from 1 species